rnacentral:rRNA from 1 species
UACGGAGAGUUUGAUCCUGGCUCAGGAUCAACGCUGGCGGCGUGCCUAAUGCAUGCAAGUCGAGCGGGGUGACCUUCGGGUCACUUACGCGGCGGACGGGUGCGGAACACGUGGGCAACCUGCCCUGAGGUGGGGGAUAGCCGGUGGAA